GUGAACGCUGGCGGUAGGCCUAACACAUGCAAGUCGAACGGCAGCACAGUAAGAGCUUGCUCUUACGGGUGGCGAGUGGCGGACGGGUGAGGAAUACAUCGGAAUCUACUUUUUCGUGGGGGAUAACGUAGGGAAACUUACGCUAAUACCGCAUACGACCUACGGGUGAAAGCAGGGGAUCUUCGGACCUUGCGCGAUUGAAUGAGCCGAUGUCGGAUUAGCUAGUUGGCGGGGUAAAGGCCCACCAAGGCGACGAUCCGUAGCUGGUCUGAGAGGAUGAUCAGCCACACUGGAACUGAGACACGGUUCAGACUCCUACGGGAGGCAACAGUGGGGAAUAUUGGACAAUGGGCGCAAGCCUGAUCCAGCCAUACCGCGUGGGUGAAGAAGGCCUUCGGGUUGUAAAGCCCUUUUGUUGGGAAAGAAAAGCAGCAGGUUAAUACCCCGCUGUUCUGACGGUACCCAAAGAAUAAGCACCGGCUAACUUCGUG
rnacentral:rRNA from 1 species